rnacentral:lncRNA from 1 species
GUGGGUCUCUUCAGAUUCGACUUGAGCAUUCGUUAUGACAUGUGGACAGAUGAUGAUUUAGAGUAUUAUUUGGACAUUGACUAGAAUAGUAAACAAUAGAACUUUACUAUUUCGCAUUGUGAACAUUAUAAUAGUGGGAGACUUUUACUUCAUGUAUGGUUGUUUCAUACUUAUGCUAUUUAGGCUAAGUAGAGAUAUCAUGUUGUAGUAAGUUACAUUUUACUUACCUUUCGCUUUUCUACAUUUAUAGUCACUAACCUCUUUUGUAGCUUUGGGCCUUGUGGUGCAUUCACUGAAGUCAGUAAUUGCCCACUGGGAACUAUUUUUGAUAGUUCUCACGCCCCUGUUUCUAUGUUUCCUUUUCAGAGCCUUCGGCACCGGCGGAGGCACGGGAUCGCGGCAAGGGGAUCGCGUAGCUAGCUAGCGAGGAGCUUACUUGCCUAGGUGGUUUACUCUUUCUUUUGUAGUUGAGAGAGUGAGAGUUUUUGUACCCUGUAUAGAGACCACCUAUGUAUCUACUCAUAGUACUUGUCUUUGGG